AUCUACCUGACGGUAAGCGAAUUGUAUUUUCAUUAAAGGAAUCUUCACAGAUUUGUUCAUCUGUUGACAAUGAUCGUUUUGGCAUUAUGAAAUUUUCCAAGUCCCAAAAUUUAGAAAGUGAGUCUUUAAUUUCCUGACUAAAAUGACAUACAGAUUUCUUGUUACACUUCACAGAUGGCAUGGCCAGAGUCAUGGGCCCUGAAACCAACCAUCCAAACUUCGAAUAAAUUAACUUAGGUUUAUUUUCACCUAACGAUAUCUGGCAACCUCCCUUAACAAUAUUCCACAUUACAUCGGACCCAAUUAAUAUAUCAACUUUGUUACUUUUAUGGAAGUUUGGAUCGGCGAGUGCAGUAUUGUUGGGUAUGUUUAAAUCCUCGGGAUCGAUUUCUACACUAGGUAAGUUUUCUGAAAUAUUUGAUAUAAUCAUACAAUGUACAUCCGUAGUGUAGGCAUUAAUUCUUGACUUUAAUUUUAAUGUACAAUAUUCAGUGGCUGUAGAUAUUGAAUUGUUCAGUCCACUUAUACACCGUGACUUAGUACUAUUAGUUUUAAUUUUAAGUUUAUUUUUCAGGUUAUCUGUGACAAACGAACUUUGACUUCCACAGUCCAAAAGAACGCGUGCCAGGUAAGUACUGUUGUCACGCUCAACGACGACUUCAACCACUGCAGUGCCCAGGAGGACUUCGCUGUUACUCGAGUAUGAGGCUCUGCAGGAGCUGAGACGACAGUUGGAAAUGGAAUGCCCUGGACGAAGACAAUUGGAGCAGAGCUUGCGUUUGGAAACUUCUGCUUCCCUGGCUUCGAUACUCAAAUUCUUAAAUUGAUCACAUUUAUACACACGAUGAUUCUCAUUACACAUAAAACAUGAUCCAUUUGGCGUAGAUGAGAAAAAAGUUUUAA